GCCGGAGUGGCGGAACUGGUAGACGCAGGGGACUCAAAAUCCCCCGGGGGUAACCCCAUCCCGGUUCGAUUCCGGGCUUCGGCACCA
rnacentral:tRNA from 1 species